rnacentral:rRNA from 1 species
GACGAACGCUGGCGGCGUGCUUAACACAUGCAAGUCGAGCGGUAAGGCCCUUUCGGGGGUACGACGAGCGGCGAACGGGUGAGUAACACGUGGGUGACCUGCCCUCAGCUCUGGGAUAAGCCCGGGAAACUGGGUCUAAUACCGGAUAUGACUCCAUGACGCAUGUUGUGGGGUGGGAAAGCCUUGUGCGGCUGAGGAUGGGCCCGCGGCCUAUCAGCUUGUUGGUGGGGUGAUGGCCACCAAGGCGACGACGGGUAGCCGGCCUGAGAGGGCGACCGGCCACACUGGGACUGAGAUACGGCCCAGACUCCUACGGGAGGCAGCAGUGGGGAAUCUUGCGCAAUGGGCGAAAGCCUGACGCAGCGACGCCGCGUGAGGGAUGACGGCCUCGG